CGUACGACGUAGUUUGAUCCUGGCUCAGAGCGAACGCUAGCGGCAGGCUUAACACAUGCAAGUCGAACGAAGUUCUUCGGAACUUAGUGGCGAACGGGUGAGUAACACGUAGGUAAUGUACCCUUUGGUGGAGGAUAACUCAGGGAAACCUGAGCUAAUACUGCAUAUGUCCUUCGGGAUAAAAGUCUUCGGACGCCUUAGGAGCAGCCUGCGGCCCAUUAUCUAAUCCUAGUUGGUAGGGUAACGGCCUACCAAGGGUACGAUGGGUAGCUGGUCUGAGAGGAUGAUCAGCCACACUGGGACUGAGACACGGCCCAGACUCCUACGGGAGGCAGCAGGUGGGGAAUAUUGGACAAUGGGGGAAACCCUGAUCCAGCAAUGCCGCGUGAAUGAAGAAGGCCUUAGGGUUGUAAAAUUCUUUUGUUCGUGAAGAUAAUGACGGUAGCGGACGAAUAAGCCCUGGCUAACUCUGUG
rnacentral:rRNA from 1 species